rnacentral:rRNA from 1 species
AGAGUUUGAUCCUGGCUCAGGACGAACGCUGGCGGCGUGCUUAACACAUGCAAGUCGAGCGGAAAGGCCCUUUCGGGGGUACUCGAGCGGCGAACGGGUGAGUAACACGUGAGCAACCUGCCCCUGGCUCUGGGAUAGCUCCCGGAAACGGGGAUUAAUACCGGACAUGACCUGCUGCUGCAUGGUGGCGGGUGGAAAGU